rnacentral:rRNA from 1 species
AACGAACGCUGGCGGCGUGGAUAAGACAUGCAAGUCGAACGGGGCAGUGCUUGUAGCAAUAUGAGUGCUGUUCAGUGGCGAACGGGUGCGUAACACGUGGAUACAUUCCGGAAAGCGGGGGAUAGCCCAGGGAAACUUGGAUUAAUACCGCAUGUGGUCGCAAGACUAAGGUGGGGACCGCAAGGCCUGCCACUUUCCGAUUGGUCCGCGGCCUAUCCGCUAGUUGGCGGGGUAAAGGCCCACCAAGGCUACGAAGGGUAGCUGGUCUUAGAGGAAGACCCGGCACACUGGAACUGAAAAACGGUCCCAACAACGUAGGGUGGCAGGAGUCGGGGAUUUUUCCACAUUGGGGCAACCCUGAUGGAGCGACGCCGCGUGGAGGAUAAGGUCUUCGGAUUGUAAACUCCUGUCAUGCGCGAACAAGGUUGCCGGGAUAAUACCCUGGCAAAUUGAUGGUACCGCAAGAGGAAGAGACGGCUAACUCUGUGCCAGCAGCCGCAGUAACAC